CAAAAGUCUGCAAAUUAGAGAUCAGGCUUAAAUUCAGCAUGCGCAUUGUUGCUGUAGCGGCUCCAGAGCAUCUUUAUCAUUGCUGUAGAGGUGAUCGCAUUCGCUCACUAUCUUCGAGGAUGUAGUGGACCCUACAAGAUUUGUGCAACAUGGAACUGCAAAAAUUCUCCUAUAAAAUCUGAUGAAAGUUCGAUAUCAGAUGUCUUUUUUUGUGCAGAAUCAAAAUAAUGUCAUCUGGUGCCAUUGUAUGUAAAGCAGUAAAUCGGUUAACAUUGAAUCAGUGACCCAUUGUGCCAUAGCACUGAAACAAAUAUUUUGCUUAAAAAUGUGCUUAAUGUGGUAAGGUUGACAUUAACUGGUUUUAUUAGGUCAACAAUAUUAUUUAACAUCAACCUAACAUCAAAGGUUACGCCAACAAAACCCAUUUUAAGAUUGCUACCUAGUUAGAUCAGAUAGCAACAUCUCCUUAAUAUAACAAUUGCCCCACAACCCCCCAACCCCUCCCCACAGCUGAUCGACUGACAAGGGGGCCUCCACGGAACGGCAAGCCCAUGGGCCCAGAGGUAGCUUUAUGCACCCCUUAAUUACCACUUUUUACACUGUAAUUUGUCUUUGACAGUAAAGCAACACUUUGUUUGAGAUUUUUGGCAUAUGUACAGUAUAACUUUUGUGAAGGGUUGAAAAACCAUAGUAAACAA